AGCAAGAUGAUGAGUUUUACAUAUCUAAAUGAAUAAUGUUGAUUCUAACUGAAUUAGCCUUCAAAGUUCUCUGAUUGCU